UAAAGGUUUGGUCCUAGCCUUACCAUCAAUAAAUACUAAACUUACACAUGCAAGUCUCCGCACACCCGUGAAAACCCCCUAUAUUCUCUUUACAGAAAUAGGAGCUGGCAUCAGGCCUACCGCCCAUGACACCUAGCUUCGCCACACCCCCAAGGGUACUCAGCAGUGAUAAAUCUUGAUAAUUAGCGCCAGCUAGAAUCAGUUGUAGUUUUUAGGGCCGGCCAAUACGGUGCCAGCCGCCGCGGAUACACCGAUUAAGGCCCAAGUUGAUGGUCUCCGGCGUUAAGGGUGGUUAAAGUUUUUUUAUAUUAGAGUCAAACCAAAACUAAGUCGUAAAACACUUGUUUUUAUGAAGCCCAAAAACGAAAGUUACUCUAAAUUAUUCUACUUGAACCCACGACAACUAAGAAACAAACUGGGAUCAGAUACCCCACUAUGCUUAGUAAUAAAAAAUUAACUCACACUCACACCGCCCGGGAACUACGAGCAUAAGCUUAAAACCCAAAGGACUUGACGGUGUCCCACCCAACUAGAGGAGCCUGUUUAAUAAUCGACACUACCCGAUAAACCCAACUGUUUUUUGAUAAAUCAGCCUGUAUACCUCCGUCGCAAGCUUACCAUAUGAAUGAUUUAUAGUAAGCUCAAUGGAUUUUUAACCAAAACGUCAGGUCAAGGUGCAGCCCACAUAACAGACAAAAAUGGGCUACAAUUUCUAUUUUAGAACAAACGGAAGGCCUCAUGAAAUCAGCCAAGAAGGCGGAUUUAGUAGUAAAAAGAAAAUAGAGAGUUCUUUUUAACAAGGCAAUGGGACGUGUACAAACCGCCCGUCACCCUCUUCGGCACAAUCCACCAGUUAAAUAACAAACUAAAACAAAGUAGAAGAGGCAAGUCGUAACAAGGUAAGCAUACCGGAAGGUGUGCUUGGA
rnacentral:rRNA from 1 species